rnacentral:rRNA from 1 species
UACGUAGGUGGCGAGCGUUGUCCGGAUUUACUGGGCGUAAAGGGAGCGUAGGCGGACUUUUAAGUGAGAUGUGAAAUACCCGGGCUCAACUUGGGUGCUGCAUUUCAAACUGGAAGUCUAGAGUGCAGGAGAGGAGAAUGGAAUUCCUAGUGUAGCGGUGAAAUGCGUAGAGAUUAGGAAGAACACCAGUGGCGAAGGCGAUUCUCUUGACUGUAACUGACGCUGAGGCUCGAAAGCGUGGGGAGCAAACAGGAUUAGAUACCCCGGUAGU